CUUUCUCCCUGUCUCCCCCACUGUCAGCACCUCUUCUGUGUGGUGAGUGGACCGCUUACCCCACUAGGUGAAGAUGUCAGCCCAGGAGAGCUGCCUCAGCCUCAUCAAGUACUUCCUCUUCGUUUUCAACCUCUUCUUCUUCGUCCUCGGCAGCCUGAUCUUCUGCUUCGGCAUCUGGAUCCUCAUUGACAAGACCAGCUUCGUGUCCUUUGUGGGCUUGGCCUUCGUGCCUCUGCAGAUCUGGUCCAAAGUCCUGGCCAUCUCAGGAAUCUUCACCAUGGGCAUCGCCCUCCUGGGUUGUGUGGGGGCCCUCAAGGAGCUCCGCUGCCUCCUGGGCCUGUAUUUUGGGAUGCUGCUGCUCCUGUUUGCCACACAGAUCACCCUGGGAAUCCUCAUCUCCACUCAGCGGGCCCAGCUGGAGCGAAGCUUGCGGGACGUCGUAGAGAAAACCAUCC
rnacentral:lncRNA from 1 species